rnacentral:ncRNA from 1 species
AUAACGGCUAUGAUUGGGACAAGUAGCCUGCGCCACCUUUCAGAGAGCUGCGGUUUGGUGCAACGCAGUAGUGAGCAGCGGUGAAAUCCACCCAGGAGCCUGCGCGAAGAGCGCUCACGGUUCGCCCCCGUUACCUGGCCAGAACGAGGUUCACUUUCGCUUGAACGAACAAAGGUGGUACCACGAUAACGCUGUAAAGUCGUCGUCGUCCUUGUA